rnacentral:ncRNA from 12 species
GCUGCCUGUGUCUGUGGUUGAAAAUCCAAGCCAGCUAUGGGCAAAAGGAUCCACGUAAACCGUGAGCAGGAAGCCGCGGCGAGCAUGGCAUAGUUUAGGUGUAAGUCCUCGGGAAAAUCCCGGUCAAGGCAAGUGUGGGGGCAAAGACCAGGUCAGGCAGGCAGC